UACGAAGGGGGGCUAGCGUUGUUCGGAUUUUACUGGGCGUAAAGCGCACGUAGGCGGGUUGUUAAGUCAGGGGUGAAAUCCUGGAGCUCAACUCCAGAACUGCCUUUGAUACUGGCAACCUAGAGGCUGGAAGAGGUUAGUGGAAUUCCCAGUGUAGAGGUGAAAUUCGUAGAUAUUGGGAAGAACACCAGUGGCGAAGGCGGCUAACUGGUCCAGAUCUGACGCUGAGGUGCGAAAGCGUGGGGAGCAAUCCGG
rnacentral:rRNA from 1 species